rnacentral:rRNA from 1 species
AUUGAACGCUGGCGGAAUGCUUUACACAUGCAAGUCGAACGGCAGCACGGACUUCGGUCUGGUGGCGAGUGGCGAACGGGUGAGUAAUGUAUCGGAACGUGCCCAGUCGUGGGGGAUAACGUAGUGAAAAUUACGCUAAUACCGCAUACGAUCUAUGGAUGAAAGCGGGGGAUCGCAAGACCUCGCGCGAUUGGAGCGGCCGAUAUCAGAUUAGGUAGUUGGUGGGGUAAAGGCCCACCAAGCCAACGAUCUGUAGCUGGUCUGAGAGGACGACCAGCCCCACUGGAACUGAGACACGGUCCAGACUCCUACGGGAGGCAGCAGUGGGAAAUUUUGGACAAUGGGCGAGAGCCUGAUCCAGCCAUUCCGCGUGCAGGAUGAAGGCCCUCGGGUUGUAAACUGCUUUUGUACAGAACGAAAAGGUUUCUACUAAUACUAGGAGCUCAUGACCGUACUGUAAGAAUAAGCACCGGCUAACUACGUGCCAGCCGCCGCGGUAA